UGGUGGCGAUAGCGAAGAGGUCACACCCGUUCCCAUACCGAACACGGAAGUUAAGCUCUUCAGCGCCGAUGGUAGUUGGGGGUUUCCCCCUGUGAGAGUAGGACGCCGCC
rnacentral:rRNA from 1 species